GCUGUGUUGCUUCGGCUGUCUGGUCCCUCAUACGUUCAUUCAUACUUCCUCUAUAAGCCUCACUCUCAUCGCCGGCACUCUCAGAUCACCCCAACGAAGAAUCCUCUACUCUCUCUCUCUCCCCACCCCCCUCCGUCGGCGCCGCCGGCGAUCAUCAAUCGGCUCGGCGAUUUAAUUCUUCAGAAAAUUUUGUAUCCGUCGGCGGGGGGUUAUACAUACAGGUUCCGGAAGCAAUCGUUUUGAUCAAUUGAAGCUCCCGAUCGCCAUGGACGAUUGCUUCGCCGACGAGGAGGACUACUACUGCUCCGACCACGAGUCGCUGGACGGGCUCGAGAAUGAAGAUUCCGGCGUCAAUUGGGCACCUUCCAAAGGCCCCUCUACUAGGGUUAUCACGAAGGAGUCGCUUUUAGUCGCACAGAGGGAAGACCUGCGUAGAGUGAUGGAUGUGCUAUCGCUUAGAGAACACCAUGCUCGAACUCUGCUUAUCCACCAUAGGUGGGAUGUGGAGAAGUUGCUUGCUGUCCUGGUUGAGAAGGGGAAACCUUGUUUGUUUAUGGACGCGGGCGUCCCUGUGGUUGAGGAUGAAUGCAAGGGUUCUCGGGCAGCUUCUUCUUCUUCUGUCAUGUGUGAUAUAUGCAUGGAAGAGGUCUCUGGUAGUGAGGCAACAAGAAUGGACUGUGGUCAUUGCUUCUGCAACACUUGUUGGACUGAGCAUUUUGUUGUCAAGAUAAACGAAGGGCAAAGCAGGCGGAUCAGGUGCAUGGCGCAUAAAUGCAAUGCUAUUUGUGAUGAAUCCACCGUCAGGACUCUUGUCAGUAAAAGGCAUCCCGACUUAGCUGAGAAAUUUGACAGGUUUCUUCUUGAGUCGUAUAUUGAGGAUAACAAGAUGGUUAAAUGGUGCCCAAGCACUCCCCAUUGUGGGAAUGCUAUACGUGUUGAGGAAGAUGAAUAUUGUGAGGUAGAGUGUUCCUGUGGAUUGCAAUUCUGUUUCAGUUGCUUGUCAGAAGCGCACUCCCCUUGCUCUUGUCUGAUGUGGGAUCUCUGGACAAAGAAAUGCCGAGAUGAAUCAGAAACAGUCAACUGGAUCACUGUUCAUACGAAGCCUUGUCCAAAAUGUCACAAACCUGUGGAAAAGAAUGGUGGAUGCAACCUAGUGAGCUGCAUCUGUGGACAAGCAUUUUGUUGGCUGUGUGGUGGAGCGACUGGACGUGACCAUACUUGGUCUACUAUUUCUGGUCACAGUUGUGGUCGCUACAAAGAAGACCAAGAGAAAAAGGCUGAGCGUGCUAAAAGGGAUCUCUAUCGAUACAUGCAUUAUCAUAAUCGUUAUAAGGCUCAUCAGGACUCCUUUAAGCUAGAAAACAAACUGAGGGAAACUUUACAGGAGAAGGUGUCGAUUUCUGAAGAGAAGGAAUCAACUCUCAGAGAUUUCAGUUGGGUAACAAAUGGACUAUAUCGACUUUUCAGGUCGAGGAGAGUUCUGUUAUACUCAUAUCCAUUUGCAUUUUAUAUGUUUGGUGAGGAGCUUUUCAAAGAUGAGAUGACAAAUGAGGUGAGAGAGAUAAAGCAACAUUUAUUUGAGGACCAGCAGCAACAGCUUGAGGAGAAUGUUGAAAGACUUUCCAAAUUUUUGGAGGAGCCUUUUGAUCAGUAUGAUGAGAAAAGAGUUAUGGAGAUACGGAUGCAAGUCAUCAAUCUAUCUGUUAUAACUGAUUCCCUUUGCAAGAAAAUGUAUGAAUGCAUUGAAAAUGACUUGCUGGGAUCUCUCCAACUGGGCACCCACAACAUAGCUCCUUAUCAUUCUAAGGGCAUUGAACGAGCUUCGGAACUUGCUUCUUGUUUGAGUAUGCAAGUCGAUGACCCAGACAAGCCAGACUUUGGCAAAGCUGUUCUAAUUGGAAGAUAGUGGCUGAGCAUAUGAGAGACUCCUGAACUUACGCUUUAUCUGCAGAGGGAGAAGAUUUUUGUUGCUUUUUGAUGAGGGUGGAUGCUCUUCGCGGAAGCGAGCUAGGAAGGAGUCUCGGUUUUUUGAUCUCAACAUGCCGGCUGAGGUCAUUGACAGGAACUGAUGACUAUCUUUGGGAUUUCAUGGAAUCGAGAUUCAGGCGUACAGUCUAACUUGGAUUUGCUUCCUCUACCUGACAGGAUGCUCUUUUGUCUAUUUUCCUCAUAAAUUUCCUGGCAUCGUUAAUUAGUUUUUAGAGGUGGUCGCGGGAAGGGGAACUCGAGAAUUUCUGAUGCUCGACCUCACCGUCUCUCUAUUGACUUCUGGGUAUUGUACAGAAUGCACCUUUAUUUAGAUUUUCCUGGGCUUUUAGAAAUGUAAAUCUUCUGCCUGAUAAUUGGAUCCUAUGAUUUAUCGUUUUGACAUAAUACAUAUUGAUAUUAUAAGAUAUAUAUAUAUAUAUUAGAGUAUUUUUUUUUCU